GUGCUCUCUUGGGCAGCACAUAACACUAAAAAUGGAACAAUACUGAGAAGAUUAAUGUGGACCUGCACAAGGAUAACUUUCGAAGUAUUCCUUUUUUUU
ensembl:snRNA U6 U6 spliceosomal RNA